rnacentral:rRNA from 2 species
AGUAAGAGCUUGCUCUUACGGGUGGCGAGUGGCGGACGGGUGAGGAAUGCAUCGGAAUCUACUCUGUCGUGGGGGAUAACGUAGGGAAACUUACGCUAAUACCGCAUACGACCUACGGGUGAAAGCAGGGGAUCUUCGGACCUUGCGCGAUUGAAUGAGCCGAUGCCCGAUUAGCUAGUUGGCGGGGUAAGAGCCCACCAAGGCGACGAUCGGUAGCUGGUCUGAGAGGAUGAUCAGCCACACUGGAACUGAGACACGGUCCAGACUCCUACGGGAGGCAGCAGUGGGGAAUAUUGGACAAUGGGCGCAAGCCUGAUCCAGCCAUACCGCGUGGGUGAAGAAGGCCUUCGGGUUGUAAAGCCCUUUUGUUGGGAAAGAAAAGCAUUCGGUUAAUACCCGAUUGUUCUGACGGUACCCAAAGAAUAAGCACCGGCUAACUUCGUGCCAGCAGCCGCGGUAAUACGAAGGGUGCAAGCGUUACUCGGAAUUACUGGGCGUAAAGCGUGCGUAGGUGGUUGUUUAAGUCUGUCGUGAAAGCCCUGGGCUCAACCUGGGAAUUGCGAUGGAAAC